rnacentral:rRNA from 1 species
AGUGAACGCUGGCGGUAGGCCUAACACAUGCAAGUCGAACGGCAGCACAGUAAGAGCUUGCUCUUACGGGUGGCGAGUGGUGGACGGGUGAGGAAUACAUCGGAAUCUACUUUUUCGUGGGGGAUAACGUAGGGAAACUUACGCUAAUACCGCAUACGACCUACGGGUGAAAGCAGGGGAUCUUCGGACCUUGCGCGAUUGAAUGAGCCGAUGUCGGAUUAGCUAGUUGGCGGGGUAAAGGCCCACCAAGGCGACGAUCCGUAGCUGGUCUGAGAGGAUGAUCAGCCACACUGGAACUGAGACACGGUCCAGACUCCUACGGGAGGCAGCAGUGGGGAAUAUUGGACAAUGGGCGCAAGCAUGAUACAGCCAUACCGCGUGGGUGAAGAAGGCCUUCGGGUUGUAAAGCCCUUUUGUUGGGAAAGAAAAGCAGCAGGUUAAUACCCCGCUGUUCUGACGGUACCCAAAGAAUAAGCACCGGCUAACUUCGUG